rnacentral:snoRNA from 1 species
GGGCUCAGUGAUGAAGGAACAAUAGAUGACGAGUCCGAUGAAAUCCAUUCAUUAAAUCAUGGGGACAAACGAGGCAUUUGCCUGAGAAGAAAAAANAAAAUUAUAAAAAAAAAAAAAA